GAGAAGGUGGCCGAGUGGUCUAAGGCGUGAGAUUAAGGCUCUCAUCCGAAAGGGCGUGGGUUCGAAUCCCAUCCUUCUCA
rfam:Galdieria sulphuraria unplaced genomic scaffold scaf_44, whole genome shotgun sequence.